ACUCCUACGGGAGGCAGCAGUGGGGAAUAUUGGACAAUGGGGGCAACCCUGAUCCAGCAAUGCCGCGUGUGUGAAGAAGGCCUUCGGGUUGUAAAGCACUUUCGGUGGGGACAAACAAGGCGGAGCUAACAUCUCCGUCCCUGAUGGUACCCAAAGAAGAAGCACCGGCUAACUCUGUGCCAGCAGCCGCGGUAAUACAGAGGGUGCAAGCGUUAAUCGGAAUUACUGGGCGUAAAGGGUGCGUAGGUGGUUUGUUAAGUCAGGCGUGAAAUCCUCGGGCUCAACCUGGGAACUGCGCUUGAUACUGACAGACUCGAGUGUGGUAGAGGAUAGUGGAAUUCCCGGUGUAGCGGUGAAAUGCGUAGAUAUCGGGAGGAACAUCAGUGGCGAAGGCGGCUAUCUGGACUAACACUGACACUGAGGCACGAAAGCGUGGGUAGCAAACAGGAUUAGAUACCCUGGUAGUCCACGCCCUAAACGAUGRGUACUAGACGUCGGGAAGCUUGUCUUCUUGUGUCGCAGCUAACGCAAUAAGUACCCCGCCUAGGAGUACGUCGCAGAUUAAAACUCAAAUGAAUUGACGAGGC
rnacentral:rRNA from 1 species